rnacentral:lncRNA from 1 species
UGAGUUCAUAGGUGAGCACCAGGUAGCUCAAACUGUGGGGCUCAGGUGGAAGCACUGGCAAACUUGAUGCCUGUGCCUGAAAUCCAUUCUCUCUGAAUGCCUUUCUGAUUUCCUACGGGGAGAGUUAAUAAGAAUGCCUUUCCUUUACUUAUUAAAAAGAUGAGGUACAAAUUAUAUGUGACUUAGACACUUUUCAUCAAAGACCACAAAGAAGAAGAAUUCAUUCUGGCCCUACCCUUUUGAGAGACAGGGUCUCACUAUGGUGCCCAGGCUGUUCUGGAACUCCUGGACUGACAUAAUCCUCUCACCUCAGACUCCCAAAGUGCUGGGAUUUUCUAUAUUUUAAUAGCUCAAGGUGUUAUUUCCAACUCUUCAAGGUCUAAAGGACACUUUAUAUUGCUUCAACAGAAAAAUCAGCCCACACUUUAGGUCUCAAAUAUGACAGAUCAUCACUAUUAACCCUCUUCAUCUAAAUUUCUGAUGAUUGAAGGCUUAAUGAUCAGAAGGCUUGGAUCCUAUUAGCCAAUAACUGGAUCAUAAUAUUAGCCAAUAUAAUAAUUCAAAUAUAUUAAAGAAUCUAAUCUAAUAAUUUUAAGUAUAUAACACUUAAAAAAGAAAAGUCCAUAUUAGCCAGUAUAAUAAUCUGAUUAUCUUUCAGCCAAUAUGCACACUCACACAAUCUAUUCAACACACAUACACACACAAUGGAUUAGCCAAUAGAUUAGAUUCUCUAAUCUAUUUGAGUUAUUUUAUUGGCCGAUAUGGACUUUCCUUUUUUAAGUGUUAUAUACUUAUCUUGUUUCAAUAAUGUGAAGAAUCAAUGUGUGAAUGAAGAAGAAAACACAAUAUUAUAUAAUCAAGUUGGACAAUAUUAGAGGAAUUCUAUCCUUAUUAUUAGAACAAAUGAACAAAAAAGGAAAAUAAAUUUUACUUUACUUAUAUAUCAAUGCUUUUGCAAGAAAUGAAUUAAUUAAGGAAGAGUGUGAUGGCCUGGCAUGUUAAAGAUAAAAUAUAAUAAAAGAAUUAAAUAAAA